rnacentral:rRNA from 1 species
UGGGGAAUUUUGGACAAUGGGCGAAAGCCUGAUCCAGCAAUGCCGCGUGUGUGAAGAAGGCCUUCGGGUUGUAAAGCACUUUUGUCCGGAAAGAAAUCCUUGGCUCUAAUACAGUCGGGGGAUGACGGUACCGGGAAGAAUAAGCACCGGCUAACUACGUGCCAGCAGCCGCGGUAAUACGUAGGGUGCAAGCGUUAAUCGGAAUUACUGGGCGUAAAGCGUGCGCAGGGCGGUUUGCUAAGACCGAUGUGAAAUCCCCGGGCUCAACCUGGGAACUGCAUUGGUGACUGGGCAGGCUAGAGUAUGGCAGAGGGGGGUAGAAUUCCACGUGUGAGCAGUGAAAUGCGUAGAGAUGUGGAGGAAUACCGAUGGCGAAGG